GUUGCAUUGUCACAGAAAUGUAUUAUUUGCACGUCUUUUUUAAGUCUUUCGGUACUCGUGCACUCCAGAGGCGCUUUUCUGUGCGCUGCAGUCACAUCUAAAGCGCGCGCUGCGAACAAACAAACAAAGCUUGUUGCGCUUAAGUGGCCAAAUACACACAAAAUAACGUCAAAAUGGUCGUCCUGACGAGUAUCCUCAUAAGCAUUGUCGGGUUUGUCUUAAGUUGCGAACGCAUAUGUAUAAGUAUUGGAUCCGUGAAACAGGUCUUGUGACAGCAGCCUAAUAAAGCUGUGCCGUCUGUCAUUAAUGUUAAUCAAACAACAAAAGACAGAGGAAAUCCCUCACUGCUCUUAAAUAAAUAAUGUUUUGUGGAAUAACUUUAAUAUGUUGAUUUACAGUUUAUUCAAUUUCUGUAUCCUAUUUAAAACAUUCAUAUUACAACUUCCUCGGCGCGUCGCGCAACAAGUGGCCUCACAAAAUGGCGAUUUUUCCCAUCAGCCACCGCGGCGCUAGAGCAGUGACGUCACGCCCCAUCCCCUAUACUGGUCCAUUCACUUGAGACCACUGAGGUUUCGAAACGUAUGACGCAGCGAAGCGUGGUCGACGUGACCAAAGCUCUGUACGUGACUAACGUGCUCCACGUGGUUAACGGUUUACGUGCUCCGAAGCACUGAUUGUAAACAAAAGAUUAAUUAAGUGAAUCGUGACUCAAGCGGUGUUUUUAACACGGCCAUCAUUACAGACAAUAAGAAGGCGAUCUUUGCUGGUGUGUGUUUGAGAACGUCCUCAUCUGUCUCGUUUCUGGAAUCAGAACAUGAUGCACCUGGUGAAUGCCACCCACAGCAUGUUUGUGAAAGAGGCAUUCCUCGCCAUGCAGCGUGGGAACAACCUGGACCAUCCAUCCGGAAUUCCGACGGAGCAUUGUCACACUAGAGCCAGCUGUUGCCAUGGAGACCGCCACAAGUGCUCUAGUGCGUGUCCCUUUUUAGAAAUGAAUUCUGAGGUGGGAAGUGCCUCAGGAGAGCCAAUCGGUAGCUAUCGCCCUGCGUUAAUAGCGUACGCUGCUCUUUGAAGCCCUGAAUUAAUUAGGUUGCACAACAUUUUCCCAAACCACCUGCUGGAUGGUCAGAUGUGGGUGAGGCUGACUGUUCACCUAUGGUAUAACAGCAGUCGCUUUAGCUUAAAUGUCACUAUGGGAAAUCGGCAUACCAGAAUCCAAGGGAUGCAGGCAAAGGUUGACAGAUGGCUUAAAUAACAGAACCAACCGUGAGAAUAAGAGUGCUUGCAGCACCUUUAAACACACAGGCAAGCGUAUACAUUCAGAUGCACACACACACAUGUUUUAUUUUAUUUUUUUGUGUAUUGAUGUCUAUUGUCUCUGUUCCUUAAGCCUGAUUUGUAAAGUGACCU